rnacentral:rRNA from 1 species
UACAGAGGGUGCAAGCGUUAAUCGGAAUUACUGGGCGUAAAGGGUGCGUAGGUGGUUUGGUAAGUUGGUUGUGAAAUCCCUGGGCUUAACCUAGGAAUUGCAGCCAAUACUGUCAAGCUAGAGUAGAAUAGAGGGAAGUAGAAUUUCCGGUGUAGCGGUGAAAUGCGUAGAUAUCGGAAGGAACACCAGUGGCGAAGGCGACUUCCUGGAUUCAUACUGACACUGAGGCACGAAAGCAUGGGGAGCAAACAGG